CUUCUACUUAGAUUGUCCACCAUGGACGCACUGGCUUAGACAGAACUACAACACCUGGAAGAUCCGGACCGGUUUUUCAGUUGUAAUGUCCUCCUCCUUCAC